UAACACAUGCAAGUCGCGCGCGCAGUUCCUGUAGCAAUACAGGGAUGGGCGCACGGCGCACGGGUGCGUAACACGUGGGCAAUCUGCCCUCCGAUGGGGAAUAACCCCGCGAAAGCGGGGCUAAUUCCGCAUAACAUUCCUUGAACUUAGGUUCGAGGAUUCAAAGCAGCAAUGCGUCGGAGGAGGAGCCCGCGCCCGAUUAGCUAGUUGGUGAGGUAACGGCUCACCAAGGCAAUGAUCGGUAGCUGGUCUGAGAGGAUGGCCAGCCACACUGGAACUGAGACACGGUCCAGACUCCUACGGGAGGCAGCAGUGGGGAAUCUUGCACAAUAGGCGAAAGCCUGAUGCAGCGACGCCGCGUGGGGGAUGAAGCUUCUCGGAGUGUAAACCCCUUUCGACCCGGACGAAUGCCCCGCAAGGGAAGUGACGGUACGGGUAUAAGAAGCCCCGGCUAACUACGUGCCAGCAGCCGCGGUAAGACGUAGGGGGCCAGCGUUGUUCGGAAUUACUGGGUGUAAAGGGUUCGUAGGCGGUGUGGCAAGUUGGGAGUGAAAUCUCUGGGCUCAACUCAGAGGCUGCUUCCAAAACUGCUGUGCUGGAGUGUGGGAGAGGCGCGUGGAAUUGCAGGUGUAGCGGUGAAAUGCGUAGAUAUCUGCAGGAACACCCGUGGCGAAGGCGGCGCGCUGGACCACUACUGACGCUGAGGAACGAAAGCUAGGGGAGCAAACAGGAUUAGAUACCCUGGUAGUCCUAGCCCUAAACGAUCAGGACUUGGGGUGCCACCCGUUCGGGUGUCGUCCCGGAGCUAACGCGUUAAGUCCUGCACCUGGGGGAGUACGGUCGCAAGACUGAAACUCAAAGGAAUUGACGGGGGCCCGCACAAGCGGUGG
rnacentral:rRNA from 1 species